GGCUGGUCCGAUGGUAGUGGGUUAUCAGAACUUACUAACAUUAGCGUCACUGAAGUUGGUAUACAACCCCCCACUGCUAAAUUUGACUGGCUUUAA
rnacentral:Y_RNA from 1 species